rnacentral:rRNA from 1 species
AGAUGGCGACCGGCGCACGGGUGAGUAACACGUAUCCAACCUGCCGAUAACUCGGGGAUAGCCUUUCGAAAGAAAGGUUAAUACCCGAUGGCAUAAUUAGACCGCAUGGUCUUAUUAUCAAAGAAUUUCGGUUAUCGAUGGGGAUGCGUUCCAUUAGGCAGUUGGUGAGGUAACGGCUCACCAAACCUUCGAUGGAUAGGGGUUCUGAGAGGAAGGUCCCCCACAUUGGAACUGAGACACGGUCCAA